rnacentral:rRNA from 1 species
AGCGAACGCUGGCGGCAGGCCUAACACAUGCAAGUCGAACGAUCCUUCGGGAUAGUGGCGGACGGGUGAGUAACACGUGGGAACGUGCCCUUUGGUUCGGAACAACUCAGGGAAACUUGAGCUAAUACCGAAUGUGCCCUUCGGGGGAAAGAUUUAUCGCCAUUGGAGCGGCCCGCGUCUGAUUAGCUAGUUGGUGAGGUAACGGCUCACCAAGGCGACGAUCAGUAGCUGGUCUGAGAGGAUGAUCAGCCACACUGGGACUGAGACACGGCCCAGACUCCUACGGGAGGCAGCAGUGGGGAAUCUUGCGCAAUGGGCGAAAGCCUGACGCAGCCAUGCCGCGUGAAUGAUGAAGGUCUUAGGAUUGUAAAAUUCUUUCACCGGGGACGAUAAUGACGGUACCCGGAGAAGAAGCUCCGGCUAACUUCGUGCCAGCCGCCGCCGUAAAAC